rnacentral:lncRNA from 1 species
CCCUGAUCUAAAGAAACAUCAGGCCGGGUGCGGUGGCUCACGCCUGUAUGGGAGGCCGAGGCGGGUGGAUCCCGAGGUCAGGAGAUCGAGACCACGGUGAAACCCCGUCUCUACUAAAAAUACAAAAAAAUUAGCCGAGCGCGGUGGCGGGCGCCGGUAGUCCCAGCUACUCGGGAGGCUGAGCCAGGAGAAUGGCGUGAACCCGGGAGGCAGAGCUUGCAGUGAGCCGAGAUCGCGCCACGGCACUCCAGCCUGGGCAACAGAGCGAGACUCCAUCUUAAAAAAACAAAAAAAAAGAAACAUCAGUGGAAGAGGAAGAAACUGCAGGUACAGGAAUGAACUUACGUGAUCCUCAUUUCAAGGAGAAGAAGGAGAAGUUGAAGAAGGAGGAGAAGGAGAAGGAUGAGAAGAAAAAGGAGAACAGGAAGGAGAAAGAGGAGGAAAAUGAGAAGGAGAAGAAGAGAAGGAACAGCAGCAGUUGCAGGAGGAGGAGAAAGAGGAGGAGGAGGAGGAGGGAGUGUGCAGAAGCUGGGGGGUAAAUGCAAUCUUGAGAAAUUCAGCACAGUUCCAACAGUGUGUGUUAUGCCUGGGCACGAAGGGUCCUACCUCACCAAGAUCAAGGGUAAAGGGAUUCCAAUGUCGGAAGCAUUUUUAGCAUACAACAACGUCCAAGUGGAUUACUACGAAUGCCUAGACCUCUGUGGCAAACAGUGCUUAUACUAUUAUGAAAUGGUCAAGAGAUGA